ensembl:lncRNA
GCUUGUCACAGCCUUUCGUCACUGGGGUUUUGGUUGCGUUAGGCAUGCGAGGCUAAAGGAAGAGCGGGGUAAUCCUAUGGGCACUAGAGGAGGUCAACAUCUAUCUGUGUAAUUAAUGGUAUAUAUAUAUAAAAAAUUAAAAAACGGUACCAAAAAGAAAAUGCAAACUGGAAGUGAUGCCAUUUAAAUGCAAGUGCUUUCAACUUGUUUUUUUCCCCCUCACUUGCUGACAUCAUCAUUCUCCAUGGGUUCGGUUAGUACGUCUUAUUUGUUUUUCUAUCUUCUCUUUGGGUCAGGGACAUAGAACCCGGACAUGACUAGUGGAUCUUGUUCGGGUUGUCACGGCGCACACCUCGAACGAACUUCUCGCUGUAGCACGGAAACGGACGCUGAAUACACAAACUACACAGGACAGGACAUAAAACACGACUUGAUGAUGAUUACAGGUGAAGAGGAUAGUAAUUUCAUACCAUUUUGAUGAACAACAAUCAAAACCUUCGCAUGGGAGGAAGGUCUCAUCGCCCGCUCGGCACGGUGGAAGUCGGCACGACCGCGAAGAACGUUUACAGCGGCUUUAAAGAUCAUUACAUGGCAAUCCGUCUCUGUUUAUAUUCCUCCCUCAGCGACCCGCUGACCUGCGUCCUGUAUUUCAGGAUUUUACCUGAUUGGUCCCACAGCGCCGAGCGGGCUCUUGAUUGGUCUCGGAAGGCUCUAGCUGGAAGACUGUCGUUUGUUUUGGACCGAAUCUGCAGUUUCACGUGCGACUGCUUUGCUGUGGGUUGAUGACUGUGUACUCAUAACAGCAUAUGAAUUAUGCAUACUAGGCUGAUGAGUGUUUUAGUUUAAAUAGCCUUGUGUGUGCUCCCUGUUGACCUGAGCCGGAGAAUUCUGAAGCCUGAUUAUCCGAAAUACUUGCAUGCAUGCAUGCAUACAUACAUUAAUGCGUACUAAUUGUAUAUCAAAUCCAAACGUUACCGUAAUGCUGCUAUAAUAGCCACCGCAUAAGGCCAUAAACCUUCAUAUUUACUGGGAAGAGCAUUGCGAUACAGUGUGAACUGCUUUAGUUUACUUUACUUGUGUGUGUGUGUGUGUGUGUGUGUGUGUGUGCCAUGUUGACAGAGUUUGGAGGAGGUUACGCCACCCCCUUGUCAGCACUGAAUAAACACAGCUUUGACCAGUCACAGUAGCCCCACACACACACACACACACACACACACACUUGUUCUGUUUUCAGACACUGCAGUAAACUUAAGAAGGUCUUACACUGUGAACAUAUACGAGCCUAAAGGAGUCUAUGGCUCUUCUGUGCUUCAUGGACCGUGAUUAUGUUGUUAAACAGCGGCAUACCUAUAGUACUCAAUGCCAAGCGUAAUCUUAAACGAAACGUCCACUCGGAAAUGCAGUGAAUACAUUUAUACUGAAAUAUAUGCCGCGGCUUUUUAAAAAAAAAUCUUUUCCGAAAUUUGCGAUGGAACUUUGUGUUUGUUUGUUUAUUUAUUUUCGCUGGAAAACUACUCGAAUCGGCGAAAUCGUCCUGCGCGCUCUGUCGCAGCGAUGUCUGUCGGUAACCGAGAUCUUUUUAGCUGUACUCGUGUUCGACGGACGUGCAUCGGAGAGGGCUUCGACCGAACGAGCGUCGUGACGACGUCACGUGACGCGUCUGGGCCCCUCGGCGAACCUGCGGGGGAAAAAAACCGUUUUGAAAAACUGCGAUUCGCCGUGUUUGCUCGAGUGUGCAGUCGCAAUAAGAGAACAGAGCAGACUGAGAAGCUCUCAUCCUCAUCGCUCUCCUUAGUGAAAGAUGAAGCGACGGCUAAAUCAAUGGACCCUUCAGAUGAUCUUCAAAUGAAGACUAAAGACCUACCUCUUCGCUAAGCACAUGAUCUAGCAUUGCUAGCAUAGCAUGAUCAUAGCACAUAGCAUAGCAUAGAUCUAGCAUAGCAUGCAUCUAGCAUGGUCAUAGCACUAUAGCGCAUAGCAUAGAUCUAGCAUAGCAUGCAUCUAGCAUGAUCAUAGCACAUAGCAUAGAUCUAGCAUAGCAUGCAUCUAGCAUGAUCAUAGCACGUAGCAUAGCAUAGAUCUAGCAUAGCAUGCAUCUAGCAUGAUCAUAGCACUAUAGCACAUAGCAUAGCAUAGAUCUAGCAUAGCAUGCAUCUAGCAUGAUCAUAGCACAUAGCACUUAGCAUAGCAUAGAUCUAGCAUAGCAUGCAUCUAGCAUGAUCAUAGCACAUAGCAUAGAUCUAGCAUAACAAGCAUCUAGCAUGAUCAUAGCACUAUAGCACAUAGCAUAGCAUAGAUCUAGCAUAGCAUGCAUCUAGCAUGAUCAAUGCACUAUAGCACUUAGCAUAGCAUAGAUCUAGCAUAGCAUGCAUCUAGCAUGAUCAUAGCACAUAGCAUAGAUCUAGCAUAGCAUGCAUCUAGCAUGAUCAUAGCACUAUAGCACGUAGCAUAGCAUAGAUCUAGCAUAGCAUGCAUCUAGCAUGAUCAUAGCACUAUUUAAAAAAAUCAAAAAAUCAUUGUCUUGUUUCUGUACUAAUCUCCCGAGGAGAGUUAUUUAGACUAACGGUACUGUAUGAUCACCGACCUGGCAUGAUCAAGUCACCCCGGAUCCGCUAAACGACGUAAACGUUAACGUAAAGCAGGUAGGCGGUUGAGACUUAAAAAAAAAAAAAAAAAAAAAACGUCGACUGUUGAGAUUCAUUACAAAAAUAAAUCUCGAACGCCUUUGAAGAUCACAUGCUAAUUAUGAAGAUGAAUAAUUAAGCGGUCCGGGCUGGAUUUCCC